rnacentral:misc_RNA from 1 species
GCUAGCCUCCGGACUUCCCCCAAAUUAAUAAUCUUCCUUGACAACUCUUGAGAAAGCUGAGCCUGGCGAGAAAUAUCCUCAGUUGAAGAGAUACCAGAUGUCGUAGUACAACUAGCUGAGCUCCCAUUUUCACCAUCACUACAGCAAUUACUACUAUUAUUACCAUUUAAAGGACCAACAAUUUCCGCCUUAGGGCCCGGAGGCGGCACAGGACGCGUUUCAGCUCUAAUUACAGCAGGAGGCGGCAUUGGAACUGGCAAAUUUACCGGAGACUCUGCACUAACCGAUGAUUUUACAGCUGAAUUCUUUGACCGAUUCAUAUCCUCACUGUCAAUUGAAGUCUCCGCAGGAGUUAACGAUUGUUGUGGUGACGGCGAACGAGAAGACCAGAGAGAAUUGUUGAGCCAAUCGGGAACGUGAUUCUUCGCCAUUCUCGAUUUUUUCAGAGCGAAAUUGAAAUGAAGAAUCGGAGAGUAGUGGAAGAGGAAUUGAACUUAUACGUAAAGCAGUUGGAAAAUUGGGGGCGCCAUUGAUGAUGAUCAGCGAGUUUUGGAGCAGCGAGAAUGAGGAGUGAGAG